ACUGCAUUGUGUUUAUUUCCUUUCAGGGAAUUGCCGAUACUAUGGCAGUAUUACCAAAAGAAGGUCGUCCACUUCGUGGAGAGCACAAUCUCUUAGGUUCAGCAACAACUAGAAGUUUUGGCCAGGGUACUUGAACUUCUUGUCUUCUACUGCUCUUCAGGCAGCGAGGGACGUAAGGUGUGAUUCUAUACAUGCACCUGUUUUUAAAGGGACGAAAAAAAGGCCACGAGAGACCAAAGACAGCAUGGAACAAGGGAAAGUAAAGAAAUAAUAAUAGAAGGGAGAGUCCAAUUUGAUUUAUUUCAAGUUUUGUUCAUUAUUGGCUAUAGCUAUAACCUAUUUUAAUUUUUGUACAUAGAAAUUUGCUUAGGAAAAUAACGGAUAUCACUAAAUCAGUUAUUUUCUUGUUUCGCGGGCUGUGUAGAUGGAUUAUAAGCUAAGUUCUUACUCACUAAAUUCUGUCUCAACACAUUUUCUUAAGGAGCAGGUUAGAUUUUUCUCUUUUAUCUAUAGUUUCUUGUCUUAUUCUCCUACAUCUGCCUACAACCAUAUACAUUUUGCGAGUAUAUUUAUACAUGAUUUUGAGCAUUGUUCUCUGCAUAUUGUUUUACCAAGGCUAAUGAUGCUUGACUCAUAGUAGCAAGAACUUGGUCAGAGUUUAGCAUGCCCUUUGAAGCCAAGUAGUUCUUGAAGUAGAUAAUAUCAAAUUUUGUUGGGGAAACAAAGUCCAAGGAGAAUAGGUUCUGGUCACCACCACAUUUUGGGCAUCUAUUGUGCAGUUGGGCAGCGUAAGAGUCAUCCAGAGUUUAAGUCUUGUUUUUUAUUUCCUGACUGGUUGUAGAGCCUUUGUCAGAAGCUGGUACACCUUGAAUUUCCAAUUGUGUGAUUGUCUACAUUAAAAUUUAUAAGUGUUAACUAUGAUUUCAUGUGAGAUAACUAGUCUAGCUAAAAUUAAGCUAGCAAAAAAAGACUAGCAUUUAUUAGACAAAGCUACAAGAUCAAGUCCCUAUCUAUUGAACCUUGAGAGAAUGGAAUCAAAUGUGUUGUUUGGAGCAAGAAUAAUGAAGUGAUUAAAAGUGAAGCCUUAAGCUUUUGUAUGAUAUAAUUACACAAUUAUACAAAAUGGAUCACAAGUUUUGUGCAUCUUAUCUAAUACUUCAGAAUUUAUAUCUUUCUUAACAUGUUUUCAAGUACAAGUAUAUGGUAAUCUCCCUAUUUUCUUAACUUUUCAAGAUUGUUUUGUCAACAGAGAUAAUCUGAAACUUAUGUUUCUCUAAUUCUUCUCUAUCAACGUCGUGCUAUCCUGCUAUCUUGUGAGACAUCACAUUGGACAAGUAGGUAGAACUGAACAACAACACCAAAAUGAUAAAGUUGUUGCAAUUAAUUCUGGAGAAACUAGACUUCAUAGAACAUCAAAGACCACAUUCUAAAGAUUAGUUCUGCAGUUGAAAUUUUAGGUAAGCAACAUUACCCUUAAAAAUGCCAAUAGAGAUCUGGCACGGCCAUGUCAAUAGCCAAUUCAUGAUUUACACUCACCAAUGAGUUCUCUUAAUAUUAAUGGUGGGAAAGAAGUGGUUAUCAGCA